GGCAAAACACAUGUGCUUAGGAGCCAAAGCCCAAGGUGAAGUGCAGCCAGGCGCAAGAGGUGUACUCGUAAUUUGGGAUGAUAAUGAUGAAAAUGAUUCAAGCCCAUUGUGAAAAAGGCCCAUCCAAAUGUGGCAAUGAGAUUGAGCACGUGGGGAAUCCAUCGGCAUCUAAGUCAACCAUGCACGUGGUGGAGACGAAAUUUGAAUUAAGAACGCGUUAGUCCUCAGGUCAACCUUCAAACACCACCACCGUGGGCCACCAUGUCGAACAUCCCCUCCGGCGGCGGUGACCGUCGAAAACGAAAAUCGGACCUAACAUUUCAAUCGUCUCCUUCGCCUCUCCAUGAAUUCCUCAUUGAUUUCCCUGAAUUCCACGUCUAGGACCCUAACCGCUUAGAUCUCCUCAAGAACCCUAAAUCCUAGAAAUCCAAAUUAAAUCCUCAAGAUUCUGAAUCAAAGCCCUAGAGGUUAGGGCUUUGACUCCUCCGGCCAAACUCUACAUCAUGGCAACUAGGACGGACCAAAAUAUUGAAGAGAAACGGAAAGUACUCAUCGAAGAUGACGUCGGAACUCAGAUGGGAUGCUGCAAGUUUUGUGAUGCCUUGACAUUGUUUGAUGGCCUUGGUUUCUUGGCUUGCAUUUGGUUUGUAGCAAGGUUUUGCUGAUGUGUAUUGCAAUGUUUCAAGCAUGCUGACUUGGUUGGGUUCAUGGUAUGCCUCAUGUUCAGCAGGUUCACUCAUUUUGCAGUAGGUAGGUUCAUUGCAUUGGCUUGAAUGUAUUGUAAUGGCUUGGUUAUAACCUCAUGGCCGCAUGCUUCUGUCUUGGCUUUGUAGCAAGACACUCCAUUCUUCAACUUGGUUCAGAUUAUGUGCAACAUGGCAUGUAGUGUAGCAUUGUUGUUUGUAGUAUCAUGAUUAACAUGGCAUGACGUCUUAAUGUACAUGGGUUAAUUCUUGCAUUGGUCCUUCUUGGCCUUAGGUCACAAAGGCAUGGUUAUGCACAUGGAAAAUGAUGAUUGAACCAAGACUUGCAACAUGACCAAGAUUGGAACAUACAUGACAAAUAAUAAGGAUUCAAAGGUCAAGGAUCAAAAUUUUAUCUUAGGAUUGGAAUUAGGAUUAGGACUUAGGGUUUUUGAAGAUUGGGUUGACUUUGGUCAAAGUUGACCAAAACGUCAACUGUUGACCAAAGUCAACAUUUGGUCAAAAUUUUGUUUUUUUCUAUUUUUCUCAUGUAAUGGACACUUGUAUGAUUAUAUAAUGAAUGUGAUUGAUAUUUUGGAUGAAAUGGAUA